rnacentral:misc_RNA from 1 species
GAUGAAGAACGUAGCGAAAUGCGAUAAGUAAUGUGAAUUGCAGAAUUCAGUGAAUCAUCGAAUCUUUGAACGCACAUUGCGCCGGCUAGUAUUCUGGCGGGCAUGCCUGUUCGAGCGUCAUUUCAACCAUCAAGCCCUGUUUAGGCUUGUGUUGGGGCCCUGCGGUUGCCGCAGCCCCCUAAAUGCAGUGGCGGGCUCGUUGUCACUCCGAGCGCAGUAGCGUAUCUCGCUCUGGGCGUGGCGGCGGGUGCUAGCCGUGAAACACCCACUAAGGUUGACCUCGGAUCAGGUAGGAAUACCCGCUGAACUUAAGCAUAUCAAUAAGCGGAGGA